GACGAACGCUGGCGGCGCGCCUAACACAUGCAAGUCGAACGGAGUCAAGAGGAGCUUGCUUUUCUUGACUUAGUGGCGAACGGGUGAGUAACGCGUGAGUAACCUGCCCUGGAGUGGGGGACAACAGUUGGAAACGACUGAUAAUACCGCAUAAGCCCACGGAUCCGCAUGGAUCUGCGGGAAAAGGAUUUAUUCGCUUCAGGAUGGACUCGCGUCCAAUUAGCUAGUUGGUGAGGUAACGGCCCACCAAGGCGACGAUUGGUAGCCGGACUGAGAGGUUGAACGGCCACAUUGGGACUGAGACACGGCCCAGACUCCUACGGGAGGCAGCAGUGGGGGAUAUUGCACAAUGGGGGAAACCCUGAUGCAGCGACGCCGCGUGGAGGAAGAAGGUUUUCGGAUUGUAAACUCCUGUCGUGAGGGACGAUAAUGACGGUACCUAACAAGAAAGCACCGGCUAACUACGUG
rnacentral:rRNA from 1 species